rnacentral:rRNA from 1 species
ACCUUACCUACUCUUGACAUCCAGAGAACUUAGCAGAGAUGCUUUGGUGCCUUCGGGAACUCUGAGACAGGUGCUGCAUGGCUGUCGUCAGCUCGUGUUGUGAAAUGUUGGGUUAAGUCCCGCAACGAGCGCAACCCUUAUCCUUUGUUGCCAGCGGUCCGGCCGGGAACUCAAAGGAGACUGCCAGUGAUAAACUGGAGGAAGGUGGGGAUGACGUCAAGUCAUCAUGGCCCUUACGAGUAGGGCUACACACGUGCUACAAUGGCAUAUACAAAGAGAAGCGACCUCGCGAGAGCAAGCGGACCUCAUAAAGUAUGUCGUAGUCCGGAUUGGAGUCUGCAACUCGACUCCAUGAAGUCGGAAUCGCUAGUAAU